rnacentral:tRNA from 1 species
GCGGACAUAGUUUAAUGGUAAAAUGUUAGCUUCCCAAGCUGAGGUUGCGAGUUCGAUUCUCGUUGUCCGCUCCA